CCUACGGGAGGCAGCAGUGGGGAAUAUUGGGCAAUGGGCGCAAGCCUGACCCAGCAACGCCGCGUGAAGGAAGAAGGCUUUCGGGUUGUAAACUUCUUUUAAGAGGGAAGAGCAGAAGACGGUACCUCUUGAAUAAGCCACGGCUAACUACGGGCAAGCAGCCGCGGUAAUACGUAGGUGGCAAGCGUUGUCCGGAUUUACUGGGUGGAAAGGGCGUGCAGCCGGGAAGACAAGUCAGAUGUGAAAUCCCGCGGCUCAACCGCGGAACUGCAUUUGAAACUGUUUUUCUUGAGUACCGGAGAGGUGAGCAGAAUUCCAGGUGUAGCGGUGAAAUGCGUAGAGAUAAGGAAGAACACCAGUGGCGAAGGCGGAUGACUGGACGGCAACUGACGGUGAGGCGCGAAAGCGUGGGGAGCAAACAGGAUUAGAUACCCGAGUAGUC
rnacentral:rRNA from 1 species